GAAGUAACAACUGGUACUCACAGAAGGUCCAACUUUGCCUUGAGGACCAGAAUCUCCAGGACGGCCUGAAGACCUGACUCCCCUGUGCGUCCGGGGUCACCUGUAGCACCCUUAGGCCCAGCAGCACCAGGAACACCACGGUCACCUGGGGAACCCUGAAGAACACCAAACCCAAUGCAGCACCCACCUUAGCACCUGCAAGACCAUCUUGACCAGGGAAUCCACGGUUGCCAGGGGCGCCCUAAGUCCAAGUGGUCCAGCUGCACCAGGUUCUCCUCUAGCGCCUCUCUUUCCUUCCUCGCCAGCAGGACCGGGUCCACCAAGGGGACCAGCGGGGCCCUGGAAAGAUCAGGUUAUCUUCACCUUUAAAUCCAGGAAGACCAGGGUCACCCUAAACCAGAAGAUGAGAAGACCGCAAGGGAUGAGUGUUUCUGAGCAACUUCCAGAGCUAUACAGCAGGUCCGGGCGAUCCUGGAGUACCAGCCUCUCCUCGGGGACCCUGUUGGCCUUCGGCCCCACGAGCUCCAGUUGGACCAGCUUCUCCCUGCCAGGACACAACAACAACAUUUGUACCUCCAUAAAGACAUAACUAUAUAUGUGUCACAUAAUGGAGGUCGUGAAUACAUACCUUGGCUCCUGGAGAUCCGGGGAAACCAGGGGCUCCAGCCGGACCAACAGGUCCCUAAAGAAAGAGACAACCUGUAGGCGGCCCGGCAGGUCCAGGCAAUCCAUCAUUUCCACGAGCACCCUGUGGAGUUAGAACAGGACACUCAGGCCAUUGAGUUGUCCCUUUCUAAAGGACAGGAAGCGUAAACAAGCUAAAAGGACAACUCACUGCAGUUCCAGCAGCACCUGGACGUCCCCUCUCACCAGGACACUCACCAUGGGUCCAGGGGCGCCAUUCUCUCCAGAAGAACCAGCCUCACCCUGAGAAAGAAAAGAGCCUCAGAUUAACCCGAAAAAUUAAGAAAAUCCAGUCAUACUAUUUUGAAAAGUGCUGCUCUCACCUUUGCACCAGCAGUGCCAGUCUCUCCCUUAGAUCCAUCCAGACCAGGGUGACCCUACGAAAAAGACGACAAGACUGGUGCCUCAAGCAAGCAGUAUCAUAGUGUGUCAGAAUGUCUAAAUAUUGGCGCUGCUUCUCAUGUGUAGGGCUGAUGGACAUCACUUACUCUGUGUCCUUUGAGUCCAGGAAGGCCAGGAGUUCCGGGGAAUCCUCGAGCUCCCUGAAAUUCAAAGAAGAGCAAAGUCCAGCAGGUCCACGUUCUCCAGAUUUUCCAGGUUUGCCAGCCUCACCCUGGAAUAAAACAUGGAGUUGAUGGGUUCUUCUUGAAAUUCAGCAACAGUGUACAGAGAAGCCGUACGUACCAUCGGUCCUUGCAUCACUCCCAUCUGAGCACCUCCGGCCUUCUCAUCAAAACCUUGAGCCAUCUGUGCAGCAAAGUUCUUUAAAACAGAGAGUGGGCCAGGGGGUCCGGGGUUUCCGGGGAUGCCGGGCUCGCCAUCUCUUCCACGAGGUCCAGAAUUUCCCUUGGGAAAAAAUAGCAGGACACUGAAUCACAAGCCGCAAUGAUUUGAGCUGGUCCACGAGUUCCCUGGUCACCUGGGGGGCCCUGCAAGAGCAAAAAUAUCCCAAGUCAGCGACAUUCCAAGUGUGGCUAACACCUGCUCGCACCACUUUAUACCAAGAAACAGCUUUUAGCAGCCUGCAUGGAUCCUAGAAGAACAUAACACUUACCAUUGGACCUGCUGGUCCUCUUGGUCCUACAACCUGCAGAGAUCGCCGGCACCAUGCACUCAAACCCUCCAAAGACUAAGUGGAAUCCAACGCGGGGCCCCAGCUGGCACUCUGCACCCACCGCGUCAGGGCAAGCACCGCGGUUUUAUGUCCACUGUGCCUUGUAUGGAUCUUCGUAUAUUCCAAAAUACCAGUCCUUCCCCCAGACCUCCUGUCAAGCUGAAACCUGAACCUUCCAUCCCUCCCCUCAAUCCUGCACCAUCUACUCUCCCAGGGAUUUUUUUUUUAACUCAAGCCCUCCUUCCUCCCUGACCUGCUUGGCCUGGCCAAGCGAUGCACCUUCACUUUCAUUACACUGAAAAUGGAUCUUGGGUGGACAGCGGGCCUUCUGAUGGCUUCAUACAUAUAUUAACUGAAAUACAACUAAUAACCUUUGAUAACCCUUCUCUAAACAUGUUUAUGUAAUGUAAUAAAGAACAAUGCCAGGCUGCAUUUCUAAAUCCCAUACUGCUUUACUACAUGGGCACUAAUUAUGAUGUGUUUUCUCUAGACAUAAUAUACUGCCUUACUAAAAUCUUUACUAUAACAACCAGGAAAGUACACGAACAUGUCUUUGCAGGCAUGGCAGUACUUGAAAGCAUUUGUGGAUAAACAGUAUCCUCAAAACCAAACGAGCUUGUAUUGCAGACCACAAGAAAAGUCAAACUGUAAAGGAGCCACCGGCCCGAUAUCUCUUAUGGGAACCAAGUACUGGGUCAGCAGGGUUGUUUGUUAUGGUUUAGUCUGUGGAUUAGGGAUUUUUCU